UACGUAGGGUGCGAGCGUUGUCCGGAAUUACUGGGCGUAAAGGGCUCGUAGGCGGCCAACUAAGUCAGACGUGAAAUCCCUCGGCUUAACCGGGGAACUGCGUCUGAUACUGGAUGGCUUGAGAUUGGGAGAGGGAUGCGGAAUUCCAGGUGUAGCGGUGAAAUGCGUAGAUAUCUGGAGGAACACCGGUGGCGAAGGCGGCAUCCUGGACCAACACUGACACUGAGGAGCGAAAGCCAGGGGAGCAAACGGG
rnacentral:rRNA from 1 species